AACGAACGCUGGCGGCAUGCCUAACACAUGCAAGUCGAACGAGACCUUCGGGUCUAGUGGCGCACGGGUGCGUAACGCGUGGGAACCUGCCCUUAGGUUCGGAAUAACUCCCCGAAAGGGGUGCUAAUACCGGAUAAUGUCUUCGGACCAAAGAUUUAUCGCCUUUGGAUGGGCCCGCGUUGGAUUAGCUAGUUGGUAGGGUAAAAGCCUACCAAGGCGACGAUCCAUAGCUGGUCUGAGAGGAUGAUCAGCCACACUGGGACUGAGACACGGCCCAGACCCCCAGGGGAGGCAGCAGGGGGGAAUAUUGGACAAUGGGGGAAAGCCUGAUCCAGCAAGGCCGGGUGAGUGAUGAAGGCCUUAGGGUUGAAAAGCUUUUUUACCCGGGAUGAUAAUGACAGUCCCGGGAGAAUAAGCCCCGGCUAACUCCGU
rnacentral:rRNA from 1 species